CAAGAGUGCUCCAAAGUUGAAACUACACCCACACUUUAAUUUUCUACAAGAAAAAGAGAAGGAUUAAGGUUAGUGAAUCAGCGUGGAGUGUACAUUGCUUUCUUGGUGAGGAUUGCAUGUUUACUUUGAGGUAGGGAUUUCUUACCCUUUUUAUUUUGAAACACUUUCAAGCCACCGAUUUGCUUGAAUGGUAAGUUUUGGUUUCCGUCUUGAUUCUUUUCGAGGGGAAACAAUCCUUGAAGGCUUACCAUUAUGUCAUUGUAUUAUUGUCAAUGACAAUGUUAUUGGUGAUUUAAUUUGUUAAAUAUGUAUAACCCUUGGAAUGCUUGGUCAUAAAUCGGGCAUUGUGUGAUUCUUCAUGCAUCAUGAUGAAUGUGUGUUUUUGAAUAUAUAUUGAACGAAUGACAUGAUUUUUAAGAAUUUACAUUAGAAGCAUGGAGGGACCCGAGGAUGGACCCGGGCUCGUGUUAGAUGUUGGAUGUUAUUUGCGCACGUGCGUGGAUGAUGGAUAGGAGCCUUGUGAUGGUCCUAGUCCAUAGGAUUCCUGUAGCGGUAUUUAUUACUACAAGUUGGCUAGUUAUCUGAUGCUAGGCCAGGCAUUACAGGUUGAGAUAUCAUUGUGGGGCCAGCAGUGAGUGGUUGCGACCACAUACAUGCAAACCUUCUCUCUAACAGUGUGAGAUUGAUGUUGAUGGAUGACUGGUGUUUGUUUCUUGGUAUUGAUUGGAUGCUAAAGAGAGAGGUAGUGCAGGUGGGUUCUCGUAGGCUUAUCGUUGCAGAGUGAGAAUCUGAUCAGACGGCUUUGGUGUCAUUGGAAGCGAAAAUGGAGGUUCGGUUUGGUUGAUCGAGUGUGUAUAUUUUAUUGCACUAUAUUUUGUUUCAUCGAUUACACAUUGUUUCUCCUUUCAGCCUUAUUAUUCUUUACUUGUGCUCUUCUGCUUUGUCCCUACUGAGCCUUUUACUCACCCUAUCUAUUUUCCUCUCCACAGGUGAGACAGGAUAGUGCACAGGCUACGAAUUAGCAAGAGGACGCGUGACGGAGGUGGCUUGGACUUCUGUGUGUUCUUUUGUGUUUAUGUGGUACAUGUGUGUAGUUAUAUAUAUUUGGAUGUAUAUGUAUGACUUGUUGUUUGCAUGCAACAGUUGUGUGAGUAGGUUGUUGUACUUGGAGUUAUGUUUAUGUUUUGGACGUGGAUUGUAUUUGAUUAGUCGAGAGUGGUGUCCCGUGGCUACUGUGUGAUUGAUGACAAUGAUGGGAUGUGUAUGACUGUGGAUCCAGAGGGUUGGUUUACUUUUAGAAGUGUUAGACGUUAUUUGGUUUAUUGUAUGUUUGCUUACAGGUUGGGUUCCCCAAUUUAUGGGGAGAUGCUGCCGAAA